UACAGAGGUCUCAAGCGUUGUUCGGAUUCAUUGGGCGUAAAGGGUGCGUAGGUGGCGGGGUAAGUCAGGUGUGAAAUUUCGGAGCUCAACUCCGAAACUGCAUUUGAUACUGCCUUGCUUGAGGACUGGAGAGGAGACUGGAAUUCACGGUGUAGCAGUGAAAUGCGUAGAUAUCGUGAGGAAGACCAGUGGCGAAGGCGGGUCUCUGGACAGUUCCUGACACUGAGGCACGAAGGCCGGGGGAGCAAACGGG
rnacentral:rRNA from 1 species